AUGCCAGCUCCUGAGCAGGCCUCAUUGGUGGAGGAGGGGCAACCAAAGACCCGCUAGGAAGCUGCCUCUACUGGCCCAGGCAUGGAAUCCGAGACCACAGCCACCACUAUUCUAGCGUCCUUGAAGGAGCAGCUCAACUAAGAAGUCAUUUCCUUGGAGAUCAACAGAUGUGCCAAAUACUGGUAUAAGCAAAUCUAGAGCUUCUGACGCUGUCCAUCCCAACAACUAUCUUAUCAGGACAGAGCCAGAACAAGGAACCCUCUAUUUACCAGAACAGACAUCUCUCCAUGAAAGUGAGGGAUCAUUGGGUAACUCAAGAAGUUCAACACAAAUGAAUUCUUACUCGGACAGUGGAUACCAGGAAGCAGGGAGUUUCCAAAACAGCCAGAAUGUGAGCAAGGCAGACAACAGACAGCAGCAUUCAUUUAUAGGAUCUACUAACAACCAUGUGGUGAGGAAUUCAAGAGCUGAAGGACAAACACUGGUUCAGCUAUAUGGCAGAUUGGGUCAGUCACCUCCAGGCAGACCUCCAAUCCCAACGGACCAAACCCUCAGUACCAAACCACCACCAGAGUGGGGUCCCCACUGGCCCUGAAGGAUGCACAGACUCGACUAGCUUCCCCAUCCCAAGGCCAGGUGGGGUCAUCGUCCCCCAAACGCUCAGGGAUGACCGCCAUACCACAGCAUCUGGGACCUUUACUGCAAAGGACUGUUCAUGACAUGGAGCAAUUUGGACAGCAGCAGUAUGACAUUUAUGAGAGGAUGGUUCCACCCAGGCCAGACAGCCUGACAGGCUUACAGAGUUCCUAUGCUAGUCAGCACAGUCAGUUUGGGCAAGACCUUCGUUCCGCUGUGUCUCCCGACUUGCACAUUACUCCUACAUAUGUGGGGAGGACCUAUUACAGCCCCGUGUACCGCAGCCCAAACCACGGAACUGUGGAGCUCCAAGGAUCGCAGAGGGCAUUGUAUCGCACAAGCUCAGUAGGUAUUGGAAAUCUACAAAGGACGUCCAGCCAACAAAGUACCCUUACAUACCAAAGAAAUAAUUAUGCUCUGAACACAACAGCUACCUACACGGAGCCCUACAGGCCUAUACAAUAUCGAGUGCAAGAGUACAAGUACAACAGGCUUCAGCACACAGUGCCGGCUGAUGAUGGCACCACAAGAUCCCCAUCAAUAGACAGCAUUCAGAAGGACCCUAGGGAGUUUGCCUGGCGUGAUCCUGAGUUGCCUGAGGUCAUUCACAUGCUUCAGCACCAGUUCCCAUCUGUUCAGGCAAAUGCAGCGGCCUACCUGCAGCACCUGUGCUUUGGCGACAACAAAGUGAAGAUGGAGGUGUGUAGGUUAGGGGGAGUCAAGAAGCAUCUGGUUGACCUCUUGGACUACAGAUUGUUGGAAGUUCAAAAGAAUGCUGUGGUGCUCUUUGAAACCUCGUUUUUGGCAAGUCUACAGAUGAAAAUGAAAUAGCAAUGAAGAAUGUUGGUGGGAUACCUGCCUUGUUGCAACUGUUGAGAAAAUCUAUUGAUGCAGAAGUAAGGGAGCUUGUUACAGGAGUUCUUUGUAAUUUAUCCUCAUGUGAUGCUGUAAAAAUAAUCAUUCGAGAUGCUCUCUCAACCUUAACAAACACUGUGAUCGUUCCGCAUUCUGAAUGGAAGAACUCUUCUUUUGAUGAUCAUCAUAAAAUUAAAUUUCAGAUUUCACUAGUUCUGCGUAACAUGACAGGUUGCCUGAGGAACCUCAGCUCUGCCGGGGAAGAAGCUCGGAAGCAAAUGUGGUCCUGCGAGGGGCUGGUGGACUUGCUGUUGUACGUGAUCCACACAUGUGUGAACAUAUCCGAUUACGACAGCAAGACGGUGGAGAACUGUGUGUGCACCCUGAAGAACCUGUCCUAUCGACUGGAGCUGGAGGUGCCCCAGGCCCGGUUACUGGGACUGAACGAAUUGGAUGACUUACUGGGAAAAGAGUCUCCCAGCAAAGACUCUGAGCCAAGCUGCUGGGGGAAGAAGAAGAAAAA